GCUACUGUUUUGAUGGAUUUGGAGGCCCUUCUGUUGAAUAAUUCUCAAGUGGAACAAAAUGAAGUACGUUUCUGUGCUGUGAGAUGGGCAACAUCUUUAUUUGAUUUGCAACAUUGCCCAAGCCGAUUUAUUUGUAUGCUUGCAGCAGCAGAUUCUAGGUUGGAUAUAAGGGAAAUGGCACUCGAAGGCUUGUUUCCUGUCAAAGACAAAGGCCGAAUAAUCAAAAUCUUGAUCUUAAGUACCCAAAACUUGGAAACAUGUUGGAUUACAUUCUUAAACAGCAACCAAAGUUGUUAGAUUCAACUGAAAUAAGGGAG
rnacentral:misc_RNA from 1 species